rnacentral:rRNA from 1 species
UACGUAGGUGGCAAGCGUUGUCCGGAUUUACUGGGCGUAAAGAGCGCGCAGGCGGUCGUACAAGUCGCGUGUGAAAGCCCCCGGCUCAACUGGGGAGGGUCACGCGAUACUGUUCGACUCGAAGGCAGGAGAGGGAAGCAGAAUUCCCGGUGUAGUGGUGAAAUGCGUAGAUAUCGGGGAGGAAUACCAGUGGCGAAGGCGGCUUCCUGGCCUGUUCUUGACGCUGAGGCGCGAAAGCUAGGGGAGCAAACAGGG